UGCUGGUGCCAAUGAAAAGUCGUCCUCUACUGCUCCUAUCCAAGUUUUGGAUUCAAGUAAGUUGAUUCCUUCUUCAGCUGAUGAUCAAGGACAGACAGCAUCCAUCCUUGUAUCUUCUGCAGCCUCAGGCCCGCAGCUGUCACCACCACCACCUCCCUUGUCUUCAUUUACCAGUACAGUUUCAACGACCCCCUCAUUCCGGAGUCCCAUUCCACCUCCGCCGCCACCUCCGGCUUUCAUAUCAUCCAGCCAGGUGAAAGUUGAAGUAGCAUCUGAAUGUGCAGUCCCAAAGAGCAGGUCACCACCACCACCACCACCUCCCCCUCUGCAUUUCAAUAAUGGGCAUAACA
rnacentral:lncRNA from 1 species